AUGCUCUGGUUUCUCUUCAUCUUCGAGCUAAUCUUUCGCCUUUACUAAAGAUUACCGUGGAGAGAACAUUACAAUGAGCCUAUAAAUAAUUUUGGAAUCCUCACCUGAUGGGGGU
rnacentral:snRNA from 1 species